rnacentral:rRNA from 1 species
AUUGAACGCUGGCGGCAUGCCUUACACAUGCAAGUCGAACGGUAACAGGUCUUCGGAUGCUGACGAGUGGCGAACGGGUGAGUAAUACAUCGGAACGUGCCCAGACGUGGGGGAUAACGAGGCGAAAGCUUUGCUAAUACCGCAUACGAUCUAAGGAUGAAAGCAGGGGACCGCAAGGCCUUGUGCGUUUGGAGCGGCCGAUGGCAGAUUAGGUAGUUGGUGGGAUAAAAGCUUACCAAGCCGACGAUCUGUAGCUGGUCUGAGAGGACGACCAGCCACACUGGGACUGAGACACGGCCCAGACUCCUACGGGAGGCAGCAGUGGGGAAUUUUGGACAAUGGGCGAAAGCCUGAUCCAGCAAUGCCGCGUGCAGGAUGAAGGCCUUCGGGUUGUAAACUGCUUUUGUACGGUACGAAAAGGCUCUGGCUAAUACCUGGGGCACAUGACGGUACCGUAAGAAUAAGCACCGGCUAACUACGUG